UACGUAGGCAGCAAGCGUUGUUCGGAAUUACUGGGCGUAAAGAGUGUGUAGGCGGUUCUCUAAGUUCCGUGUGAAAUCUCCCGGCUUAACUGGGAGGGUGCGCGGAAGACUGGAGGGCUGGAGUAUGGGAGAGGAAAGCGGAAUUCCUGGUGUAGCGGUGAAAUGCGUAGAUAUCAGGAGGAACACCUGUGGCGAAAGCGGCUCACUGGACCAUAACUGACGCUGAUGCACGAAAGCUAGGGGAGCAAACGGG
rnacentral:rRNA from 1 species